UGAUUGUGGGUGUCCUGUCAGAACAAUG
rnacentral:piRNA from 1 species